rnacentral:tRNA from 1 species
UCCUCGAUAGCUCAAUGGUAGAGCACCCGGCUGUUAACCGGGCGGUUGUUGGUUCGAGUCCAACUCGGGGAGCCA